AAAGGUAACGUCUUACCGGGCCUCAGAAUGGCCGGAUUUAACGUACCAGAGAAUAGUCAGAAGACUUGCUGAGGUUGGGGACACAGAAUGAGACACAACAAUGAGGAAAAGCCAAAAGUCAAGGAUACCAGAAUACAGGGAAGUCAAACGAAGCCAAAGUCAAUAACCAGAAAUAAACGCUCAGGAACACACUCUCAGAUAAUAUACUAAGGGAAACCACAACAGGGCAAUGAGGAAAA